rfam:Pseudogymnoascus verrucosus strain TAMH 10579 unplaced genomic scaffold scaffold_75, whole genome shotgun sequence.
AUUGAGUUCAGUACGAGAGGAACCGCUCAUUCAGAUAAUUGGGUUUUGCGGCUGUCUGACAGGGGAGUGCCGCGAAGCUACCACCCG